rnacentral:rRNA from 1 species
UAAGCGUGUAGGUGUGUGUUCCAGGUAAAUCCGGUUCACUUUAACACUGAGGCGUGAUGACGAGGCACUACGGUGCUGAAGCAACAAAUGCCCUGCUUCCAGGAAAAGCCUCUAAGCAUCAGGUAACAUCAAAUCGUACCCCAAACCGACACAGGUGGUCAGGUAGAGAAUACCAAGGCGCUUGAGAGAACUCGGGUGAAGGAACUAGGCAAAAUGGUGCCGUAACUUCGGGAGAAGGCACGCUGACACGUAGGUGAAGUGAUUUACUCAUGGAGCUGAAGUCAGUCGAAGAUACCAGCUGGCUGCAACUGUUUAUUAAAAACACAGCACUGUGCAAACACGAAAGUGGACGUAUACGGUGUGACGCCUGCCCGGUGCCGGAAGGUUAAUUGAUGGGGUCAGCGCAAGCGAAGCUCCUGAUCGAAGCCCCGGUAAACGGCGGCCGUAACUAUAACGGUCCUAAGGUAGCGAAAUUCCUUGUCGGGUAAGUUCCGACCUGCACGAAUGGCGUAAUGAUGGCCAGGCUGUCUCCACCCGAGACUCAGUGAAAUUGAACUCGCUGUGAAGAUGCAGUGUACCCGCGGCAAGACGGAAAGACCCCGUGAACCUUUACUAUAGCUUGACACUGAACAUUGAGCCUUGAUGUGUAGGAUAGGUGGGAGGCUUUGAAGUGUGGACGCCAGUCUGCAUGGAGCCGACCUUGAAAUACCACCCUUUAAUGUUUGAUGUUCUAACGUGGACCCGUGAUCCGGGUUGCGGACAGUGUCUGGUGGGUAGUUUGACUGGGGCGGUCUCCUCCUAAAGAGUAACGGAGGAGCACGAAGGUUGGCUAAUCCUGGUCGGACAUCAGGAGGUUAGUGCAAUGGCAUAAGCCAGCUUGACUGCGAGCGUGACGGCGCGAGCAGGUGCGAAAGCAGGUCAUAGUGAUCCGGUGGUUCUGAAUGGAAGGGCCAUCGCUCAACGGAUAAAAGGUACUCCGGGGAUAACAGGCUGAUACCGCCCAAGAGUUCAUAUCGACGGCGGUGUUUGGCACCUCGAUGUCGGCUCAUCACAUCCUGGGGCUGAAGUAGGUCCCAAGGGUAUGGCUGUUCGCCAUUUAAAGUGGUACGCGAGCUGGGUUUAGAACGUCGUGAGACAGUUCGGUCCCUAUCUGCCGUGGGCGCUGGAGAACUGAGGGGGGCUGCUCCUAGUACGAGAGGACCGGAGUGGACGCAUCACUGGUGUUCGGGUUGUCAUGCCAAUGGCACUGCCCGGUAGCUAAAUGCGGAAGAGAUAAGUGCUGAAAGCAUCUAAGCACGAAACUUGCCCCGAGAUGAGUUCUCCCUGAGACUUAGAGUCUCCUGAAGGAACGUUGAAGACGACGACGUUGAUAGGCCGGGUGUGUAAGCGCAGCGAUGCGUUGAGCUAACCGGUA